UGAACUUCUCGUCCGCAUUAAGAGAAGGCAACAAAAGUAGAGGAAAACAAAAAUGUACCAAAAAUCCAUCCUACUGACAUUAUAGCUCCUCUCCGGGUAUAUAGCAGCAAGGAUAGAUCAAGAUUAGUCCAAGAAUGAUUUUCAAUAUUUGUUGUGAAGGAUUUAGAUUAAGUUAUUAAAUUGUAAUGGAUCUUAUCUCUUAGAACUACAAUGUAUAACUUUGCAGCUUAAGUUCGCUGUGAUAUAUUAGCUUUCUUAAGUACUUCCUCUUUUCCAUUUUAUCUGACAAAAUUUGAUUGAAAUCCAGUAUGAGCUCAUGGUUGUUUACGUAUGCUGUACGCAGCUAUAAGUUUGAGUUCCCUUCUCCUGCUGAUAGACCCCGUGCUCCAAUUAUAAGCUUCAGGUUAAAAGCAUCUGUGUCAAAUACAUUCUUUUGAAUCUCUUGUUGGAUAGCAAAUCUCAGCUAAUUAACUUCUUAUCUUGUUGUAA
rnacentral:lncRNA from 1 species